rnacentral:misc_RNA from 1 species
GAUGAAGAACGCAGCGAAAUGCGAUACGUAGUGUGAAUUGCAGAAUUCAGUGAAUCAUCGAAUCUUUGAACGCACAUUGCACCUCUCGGUAUUCCGGGAGGUAUGCCUGUUCGAGCGUCAUUUGUACCCUCAAGCUCUGCUUGGUGUUGGGUGUUUGUUCCGCCUCUGUGUGUGAACUCGCCUCAAAACAACUGGCAGCCGGCGUACUUGUUUCGGAGCGCAGCACAUUUUGCGAUCCAGAUCAACGUACAGCGGCAUCCAAGAAGCCUUAUUUAACGCUCUUGACCUCGGAUCAGGUAGGGAUACCCGCUGAACUUAAGCAUAUCAAUAAGCGGAGGA